rnacentral:tRNA from 1 species
GCCCGAAUUGUGUAGCGGUUAGCACACAAGACUGUGGAUCUUGUUGCCCGAGUUCAAAUCUCGGUUCGGGCC